GUCGAACGGUAGAGGGGGCAACCCCUCGAGAGUGGCGAACGGGUGAGUAAUAUAUCGGAACGUGCCCAGUCGUGGGGGAUAACGUAGUGAAAAUUACGCUAAUACCGCAUACGAUCUAAGGAUGAAAGCGGGGGAUCGCAAGACCUCGCGCGAUUGGAGCGGCCGAUAUCAGAUUAGGUAGUUGGUGAGGUAAAGGCUCACCAAGGCAACGAUCAGUAGCUGGUCUGAGAGGACGACCAGCCACACUGGAACUGAGACUCGGUCCAGACUCCUACGGGAGGCAGCAGUGGGGAAUUUUGGACAAUGGACGCAAGUCUGAUCCAGCCAUUCCGCGUGCAGGAUGAAGGCCCUCGGGUUGUAAACUGCUUUUGUACGGAACGAAAAGGUCUCUCUUAAUACGGGGGGCUCAUGACGGUACCGUAAGAACAAGCACCGGCUAACUACGUGCCAGCAGCCGCGGUAAUACGUAGGGUGCAAGCGUUAAUCGGAAUUACUGGGCGUAAAGCGUGCGCAGGCGGUUAUAUAAGACAGAUGUGAAAUCCCCGGGCUCAACCUGGGAACUGCAUUUGUGACUGUAUAGCUAGAGUACGGUAGAGGGGGAUGGAAUUCCGCGUGUAGCAGUGAAAUGCGUAGAUAUGCGGAGGAACACCGAUGGCGAAGGCAAUCCCCUGGACCUGUACUGACGCUCAUGCACGAAAGCGUGGGGAGCAAACAGGAUUAGAUACCCUGGUAGUCCACGCCCUAAACGAU
rnacentral:rRNA from 1 species